UGGCUGCCAUGGGAACUAGCUUCCAGUUCAAUUACGCUAGGGUAAAGAGCACCUGGCUUCCUAGGGUCAGCAGCACAGCCUCUCCUGCUGCAGCAACAGGCACGCACAAUGGAUGGCUGCAGGUCAAUGCUCCAGUGAGUAUGAAAAAAAAGCCAAAAAUAAUAAAGCCUUUUUCAACCUUGGUAAGGUAGCAGCUACCCAGUUGGUGAGAAUACAUGAGGCAGCGUGUCAAGAUGGCCCUCUGGUCUUUAGGGUACUAAUUCUGAAGAGUCAAGUUCAACUCCAUGUUCUGCCACCAUUCCUGUAUGACCUUAGACUUUUGAGCUUGUCUACACUUAAAAGGAGUUGCUGACACACCUGUAGAGCUGAGAGCAUGUAUGCUGGUACACAUGAAGCUUCCUGAAUGGAUUAAGCUGUGCCAAAGGAUUUUUCAAUAUGGGGGUAUGGCUCUUCCAGCUAGGGGGCAAUUUUCUCAUGCUCCUAAGAACAUGUCAUUAUGCUGGGAAAAACUGAAUGCAGGCAAACCCAAGUGACUCCAGGCCUCUGCUCUUUCCUCUCACCCCAUGUGAACUGUGGUAACAGCACUUCUCUACCUCACAGGACUGUUUUGAGGAUGCAUACAUUCAAGCUAGCACGGUGCUUAGCUACUGUAGUGACAGGACCCAUCUACCUAUGAUA